GACGAACGCUGGCGGCGUGCUUAACACAUGCAAGUCGAACGGUGAAGAGAAGCUUGCUUCUUGGAUCAGUGGCGAACGGGUGAGUAACACGUGAGUAACCUGCCCUUGACUCUGGGAUAAGCACUGGAAACGGUGUCUAAUACCGGAUACGAGCUUCAGCCGCAUGGCUAGGAGUUGGAAAGAAUUUCGGUCAAGGAUGGACUCGCGGCCUAUCAGCUAGUUGGUGAGGUAAUGGCUCACCAAGGCGACGACGGGUAGCCGGCCUGAGAGGGUGACCGGCCACACUGGGACUGAGACACGGCCCAGACACCUACGGGUGGCAG
rnacentral:rRNA from 1 species